UAGGGAAUCUUCGGCAAUGGACGAAAGUCUGACCGAGCAACGCCGCGUGAGUGAAGAAGGUUUUCGGAUCGUAAAACUCUGUCGGUAGAGAAGAACGUUGGUGAGAGUGGAAAGCUCAUCAAGUGACGGUAACUACCCAGAAAGGGACGGCUAACUACGUGCCAGCAGCCGCGGUAAUACGUAGGGUCCCGAGCGUUGUCCGGAUUUAUUGGGCG
rnacentral:rRNA from 1 species